GGCAGGAAACACAAAAAAAGUUUCCGCCUUGAUUGUUACUCGUGAGGGCAACAAGAACGUUUGAUAAAGUUACCAGUUUGAAAUAGAGAACACGAGAAAGAUGAUAAAAGGGAUAUUGUUGUCGUUCAUCACUGGAGUGUAUGCAGGAUCAUGCUACUAUGAACACAUGAACGUGUUCACUCCAAACCCGUUUGAAUUCUACACAAAUACAACCAUGCAUUAUGAGUACUGUCUUGCUGGCUGUUGCGGUGCCUAUAAACGCGGUGGUAUGAAACACUGCUGUGACUCUACUGGAGCUACCAUUGGAAUUCUGAUUGCUGUGAUGCUCUUUGUUGGACUGGUAGUCACAGCUGGUAUCGUGUAUAGACAAAAACGACGUAGAUUUUUACUUGUUAAUGGUGUGUCGACUGAACGAGACAGAUUGGUGAAACCAGCUUCUCCGUCGAAUCUGAAAACCGAUGGUCACAAUCACUACCAAAGUCAUUCGAAUUACAAUUACCAGAAAACACAAACAGGAACAGGAAAUGAAUAUCCGCCACAAUAAACUGCGAAUGCGUCUGCAAAGUAUACUUCUCGUUUCUCGUUUUUAUAUAGAUUAGACCGUUGGUUUUUUCGUUUGAAUGGUUUUACACUAGUAAUUUUUUGGGGCCCUUUAUAGCUUGCUGUUUGGUGUGAGCCAAUGCUCCAUGUUGAAUGCCGUACCUUGACCUAUAAUGGUUUACUUUUAUAAAUUAUAACUUGGAUGGAGAGUUGUCUCAUUGGCACUCAUACCACAUCUUCCUAUAUCUAUUAACAGUGCUUAGUUUUCAACUUAUAUUAUUAUUUUAUAACUACGGCUUUCUCAAGAUUUGUUUCGUUAUUUUGUUACACAUUGAAGCAUCUAAAAUUUAGGCUUUAGUUUUAAGCUAUUAUUUUGAACGUAUUUCGCCAUAGCUAUUUGAUUUAUAAAUAUGAAUUGUUAAUUAAAGUUGAUGAUAUUUCCUAAUUAUUAUACCAGCUAUCGUAUUCAGCGCCCAUGCUUUAUGCUUAAAACUCUUCGUUUUAUUGUGCGUAUUGUUUUGUAUUUGUUUAUUCUACAUUGGCUAGAGGUAUAGGAAGAGGGUAGAGGAGGGACGACACUCUGAACACGGCACGCAGAUUUGUCUAAUAUUAUCGAUCGGUCGGGUGGUAUUGUGACAUUUAUUUCAAACUACUCGUGGUGUGGACAUCACCGUUAAUGAUACUUGGACAAGCGAAAUAAGGGCUGAUCAUGCAAUAUACAUAUACUUUGUACAUACAUAAUAAACAAAUUUGUUAGUUAUUUCUUGGCAAUAAACAUAUUUAUACCCAAA